GUUUGCAAAGCUAGCCUGACUUAUAGCAAAAAGGCACACCAAGAAUAUAACACCAAGCCCCCCACCCCAAAGCAUUUUACCCCCCGAGUAUGGGCGACAGAAAAGGAACUACCAGCGCGAUAGAGACAGUACCGCAAGGGAAAGCUGAAAGAGAAAUGAAACAAACCAAAAAAACACAGGGAAGCAGAGUCUAAGUCUCGUACCUUUUGCAUCAUGGUUUAGCAAGUAACCCUCAGGCAAAGAGAACUUCAGUUUGAACCCCCGAAACUAAGUGAGCUACUCCGGGGCCGCCUAAUGGGCAAACCCGUCUCUGUUGCAAAAGAGUGGGAAGACCCCCGAGUAGAGGUGAAAAGCCUACCGAGCUUAGUUAUAGCUGGUUGCUUAAGAAAUGGAUGUAAGUUCAGCCUUACCUUAUCCUCCACCCACCCCAAUUAAAGGAGCAAGAGAAAUGUAAGAGUUAGUCGAAGGGGGUACAGCCCCUUUGAAAAAGGACACAACCUUAGACAGGAGGACAAGGACCACAUACGAAAAGGUCAUCACCACAGUAGGCCCAAAAGCAGCCACCUGUAAAGAAAGCGUUAAAGCUCCGGUGAAACUAAACCCAAAAAUAAAGCUAUAAAAUCCCCACCCCCUAAGACUAUUAAGCUAAUCUAUGCACUCAUAGAAGAAAGAAUGCUAAAAUUAGUAACAAGAGGGCUAGCCCCUCUCCUAGCACACGUGUAUGUCAGAACGGACAAGCCGCUGACAAUUAACGGACCCAACCAAAGAGGGUAUAGCAGCAGAAUACAACAUACAAGAAAGUUCUACUAAGAAGACCGUUAACCCAACACAGGAGCGCCUUAAGGAAAGACCAAAAGGGAAGGAAGGAACUCGGCAAACAAGAACUCCGCCUGUUUACCAAAAACACCGCCUCUUGCUAACAAAGUAUUAGAGGUCUCGCCUGCCCUGUGACCCCCAAGUUUAACGGCCGCGGUAUACUGACCGUGCGAAGGUAGCGUAAUCAUUUGUCUUUUAAAUGGAGACCUGUAUGAAUGGCAUCACGAGGGUUCGACUGUCUCCCCUCCCCCAUCAGUGAAAUUGAUCUCCCCGUGCAGAAGCGGGCAUAAGAACAUAAGACGAGAAGACCCUAUGGAGCUUUAGACAAGAGGCCACCCAUGUGAAAACGCUUUUAAACCCAAAAGGGCCCUACAAGCUAAAAACUAACUGUAACCUGGUCCGGAUGUCUUCGGUUGGGGCGACCCUGGGGGAAAAACUAGCCCCCAAGAGGAACAGGGACAACCCCUGAGCCAAGAGGAACACCUCUAAGAAACAGAAAAUCUGACCACAAAUGACCCAGGGCGCAACCCUGAUCAACGAACCAAGUUACCCUAGGGAUAACAGCGCAAUCCCCUCCCAGAGCCCAUAUCGACAAGGGGGUUUACGACCUCGAUGUUGGAUCAGGACAUCCUAAUGGUGCAGCCGCUAUUAAGGGUUCGUUUGUUCAACGAUUAAUAGUCCUACGUGAUCUGAGUUCAGACCGGAGCAAUCCAGGUCGGUUUCUAUCUAUGACCACUUCUUCUCAGUACGAAAGGACCAGAAUGAAGGAGGCCCAUGCCCCUGGUACGCCACAUCCUCACUCACUGAAGAAAAAUCAAGAGAGCAAAAGGACACCCCAAAUUUUAUGAGCCAAAAACAAUGGCAAA
rnacentral:rRNA from 1 species